AAAAAUUUCCCGUCGAUUUCAUAUCCUCAAAUCAAGCCAAAUCGAUUCACCUUCAUGUUUUCACAUCUUCUUCCAGCCAAAUCGAUUCGCCUUCAUCUUCUUCCAGCCAAAGGUACGCUGACAGUCAAAGGGCUUCACCAUUCUUCCGCUUCUUGCAGCGACUGAGAAACAGUAGCGGGAAGGGAGGUAAUCUUUUUCUACCCUCAUCAAGCUUCAUCCUCUCCGACGUUUCCCUUCCAUUGAUUGCAGAGGUAAACUUAAAACUGAUUUUUGCCCUCAG
rnacentral:lncRNA from 1 species